CUACGUGCCAGCAGCCGCGGUAAUACGUAGGGCGCGAGCGUUGUCCGGAAUUAUUGGGCGUAAAGGGCUUGUAGGCGGUUGGUCGCGUCUGCCGUGAAAUUCUCUGGCUUAACUGGGGGCGUGCGGUGGGUACGGGCUGACUUGAGUGCGGUAGGGGAGACUGGAACUCCUGGUGUAGCGGUGGAAUGCGCAGAUAUCAGGAAGAACACCGGUGGCGAAGGCGGGUCUCUGGGCCGUUACUGACGCUGAGGAGCGAAAGCGUGGGGAGCGAACAGGAUUAGAUACCCUGGUAGUCCACGCUGUAAACGUUGGGCACUAGGUGUGGGGCCACCCGUGGUUUCUGCGCCGUAGCUAACGCUUUAAGUGCCCCGCCUGGGGAGUACGGCCGCAAGGCUAAAACUCAAAGGAAUUGACGGGGGCCCGCACAAGCGGCGGAGCAUGCGGAUUAAUUCGAUGCAACGCGAAGAACCUUACCAAGGCUUGACAUGC
rnacentral:rRNA from 1 species